UACGGAGGGUUCAAGCGUUAUCCGGAUUCACUGGGUUUAAAGGGUGCGUAGGAGGGCAGGUAAGUCAGUGGUGAAAUCUCCAAGCUUAACUUGGAAACUGCCGUUGAUACUAUCUGUCUUGAAUAUUGUGGAGGUGAGCGGAAUAUGUCAUGUAGCGGUGAAAUGCUUAGAUAUGACAUAGAACACCAAUUGCGAAGGCAGCUCACUACACAAUCAUUGACUCUGAGGCACGAAAGCGUGGGGAUCAAACAGG
rnacentral:rRNA from 1 species